CAGUAAUCCAGAUCUGUUUUCCUGAAUGCACCACAUCAAAGACACAACGCGGCGUUUGAGGCUGGACCUGUCUCACAUGCUGUGAUUCUCUCCAGAAGCUUCACUGAGACUGCAUGACUGCGUAGUUGCAGUAAGUUUAGUGAGAGGCAUACUUCAGCAAGACUCACACCGCAGUGAAUUCGCGAGAUUUUGCUGAUUUGGCAUUUCCCUGUUUGUCUUCCCUGUUCUCUCACCCUCCACACUGCUGCCUCCCAGCUAGUCAAGGGAAAUGCAGCUGUCUGUCUUAAUUCUUGUACUGCUAAAGGCCUCUUUCUGUAAAGGGGGAGUUCUCUGCUUCACUGUCACGCACCACAUUGUGCAUGAACAGGG